rnacentral:rRNA from 1 species
UACGUAGGGGGCGAGCGUUGUCCGGAAUUAUUGGGCGUAAAGGGCUCGUAGGCGGUCUGUUGCGUCGGGAGUGAAAACUCAGGGCUUAACCCUGAGCCUGCUUCCGAUACGGGCAGACUAGAGGUAUGCAGGGGAGAAAGGAAUUCCUGGUGUAGCGGUGAAAUGCGCAGAUAUCAGGAGGAACACCGGUGGCGAAGGCGGUUCUCUGGGCAUUACCUGACGCUGAGGAGCGAAAGUGUGGGGAGCGAACAGG